rnacentral:rRNA from 1 species
UACUCCUACGGGAGGCAGCAUACUCCUAUGGGAGGCAGCAGUGGGGAAUAUUGCACAAUGGGCGCAAGCCUGAUGCAGGGACGCCGCGUGAGGGAUGACGGCCUUCGGGUUGUAAACCUCUUUCAGUAGGGAAGAAGCGUAAGUGACUGAUCUGGCCG